rnacentral:rRNA from 1 species
UACGGAGGGAGCUAGCGUUAUUCGGAAUUACUGGGCGUAAAGCGCACGUAGGCGGCUUUGCAAGUCGGAUGUGAAAUCCCUCGGCUCAACCAAGGAAGUGCAUUCGAAACUGCAGAGCUUGAGUACUUAAGAGGAUCGCGGAAUUCCCGGUGUAGAGGUGAAAUUCGUAGAUAUCGGGAGGAACACCAGUGGCGAAGGCGGCGAUCUGGGAAGAUACUGACGCUGAGGUGCGAAAGCGUGGGGAGCAAACAGG